GACAUAUACAGGAAUACGGCAGAGAUGUCGUAGCCGCAAGGUCUGUAUACAGGUGGUGCAUGGUUGUCGUCAGCUCGUGUCGUGAGAUGUUGGGUUAAGUCCCGCAACGAGCGCAACCCUCGUUCUGUGUUGCCAGCAUUUAGUUGGGGACUCACAGGAGACUGCCGGGUUUAACUCGGAGAAAGUUGGGGAUGACGUCAAAUCAUCAUGCCCCUUAUGUCUUGGGCUGCACGCAUGCUACAAUGGCUGGUACAAACGGCUGCAAUACCGCAAGUUGGAGCGAAUCCGAGAAAGCCAGUCUCAGUUCGGAUUGGGGUCUGCAACUCGACCCCAUGAAGUCGGAGUUGCUAGUAAUCGUAGAUCAGCAACGCUACGGUGAAUACGUUCCCGGGGCUUGUACACACCGCCCGUCACAUCACGAAAGUCGGUAACACCCAAAGUCAGUGCCCAACCGCAAGGAGG
rnacentral:rRNA from 1 species